GGCAGAUGCAAGAGGAAUUAAGAUUCCACCUUUCUUGGUUAAAGAUCUUUCAAAGGAAGAGAGAAACCAUCCUAUCUGGGAAGUCAGCUUCCAGACUCCGAUGGAAGCCUGGAAAUCUUCUGAUCCUAAAUCUUAGUUUAUUGACUCUUGGUAACCAUGGAUGAAGGACCCCCAUUCUCGUUCUACAGUCCCUCAAUGUAUGAGGUCCCUUAACCAGAAACUCAAGAUGUCCCAGUCUUGCUCAACCUCAAAUCUCAACACCCUAUUCUUUUCACCUUUCGGAUUAAUUCACAGGCCUCUGGUUUCCUGCUAAAGCUGAGGCAAGAGAAAGGAGAUAAGAUACCACAGGACCUAAAGGGGUUCAGAAACAAAGGCUUGGAUAAGAAUGGGCUUCAUCUUCUGAGACCACCUCACAUUCCUCAUGUCUUCACACGCCUGUCUGGAAUCCUGACCAGGACCUCAUCUCAAGCUCAGAUCAUCCCUGAACCCCACUUCUAUCCUUGCUCAAGCUCUUUGGAAUCAAGCUCAAACUCCUGAAUGUUCCAAGGCAACACCCUUUCUAGAGAUGCUGGAUCCAAGCCAAAUGCCCUGGAGCCCACUGUGUGUGUAAGUCACACCUCGACGAGUAACACUCUCCUUAUCCCUUUCAGCCCCAGUUCAGAAUGCUGUAGGACACCACUCUCUUUUUUGGCUCCACAUCCAGUAUAUCUGGAAUUCAACUCUCGGCUGACCAGGCCUCGCUACAGAGGCCAUCUCCUCUCCACCUGUUUCACCCAAGCCGCCUCCACCCAGUCUGCUGUUCUACUCUUGGAGUUGGAUUUCCAUUGGAGAGCUUCUGAAGUUCAGGUCUGGAGUCAGCAUCAUCCGAGCAGCACUCUCACUAGGAAGAUAUUACUAACCUUGCUCAAACUGGGUACCAAAGGAACAGACAGCUAAGGUCCCCUCUCUUAACCAAAAGAUCCCAUUAACCAGU